UACGUAGGGUGCCAGCGUUGUUCGGAAUCAUUGGGCGUAAAGCGCGUGUAGGUGGCUUGUUAAGUCGAGUGUGAAAUCCCUGGGCUCAACCGAGGAAGUGCAUUCGAAACUAGCUCGCUCGAGGACGGCAGAGGAAGGUGGAAUGCCAAGUGUAGAGGUGAAAUUCGUAGAUAUUUGGCGGAAUACCGGCGGCGAAGGCGGCCUUCUGGACCGUUCCUGACACUGAGACGCGAAAGCGUGGGGAGCAAACAGG
rnacentral:rRNA from 1 species